AUUGAACGCUAGCGGCAUGCCUUACACAUGCAAGUCAAACGGCAGCACGGGGCAACCUGGUGGCGAGUGGCGAACGGGUGAGUAAUGCAUCGGAACAUACCUUUCAGUGGGGGAUAACGUAGCGAAAGUUACGCUAAUACCGCAUAUUCUGUGAGCAGGAAAGCAGGGGAUCGCAAGACCUUGCGCUGAUUGAGCUGCCGAUGUCAGAGUAGCUAGUUGGUGAGGUAAAGGCUCACCAAGGCGACGAUCUGUAGCGGGUCUAAGAGGAUGAUCCGCCACACUGGAACUGAGACACGGUCCAGACUCCUACGGGAGGCAGCAGGGGGGAAUUUUGGACAAUGGGGGCAACCCUGAUCCAGCCAUGCCGCGUGAGUGAAGAAGGCCUUCGGGUUGUAAAGCUCUUUCGGCCGGGAAGAAAUCGCACGGGCUAAUACCCUGUGUGGAUGACGGUACCGGAAUAAGAAGCACCGGCUAACUACGUGCCAGCAGCCGCCGUAACAC
rnacentral:rRNA from 1 species